AGCUCUGUAAGCGUAUACCAAAGUUGUUGCAGUUAAAACGCUCGUAGUCGGAUUUUGGCGUGGUACUGCUGAGGUCCCUGAUUGGGUUCCGAGGCCAGUCCCGCCUUUGUGGAUGAGGGCGUGGUGGUGCUUAACUGUAUUGCCGCGUUUUCGCCACUGUUUACUGUGAAAAAAUUAGAGUGUUCAAAGCGAGCGAUUGCCAUGAAUACAUUAGCAUGGAAUAAUAGAAUAGGACCUGAUCCUGUUUUGUUGGUUUGUCGGUAUUAGGUAAUGAUUAAGAGGGACGGUCGGGGGCAUUUGUAUUCCAGGGUUAGAGGUGAAAUUCUUGGAUCCUUGGAAGACAAACAGCUGCGAAAGCGUCUGCCAAGGACGUUUUCA
rnacentral:rRNA from 1 species